rnacentral:rRNA from 1 species
UACGUAGGGGCAAGCGUUGUCCGGAAUCAUUGGGCGUAAAGCGCGCGUAGGCGGCCCGGUAAGUCCGUUGUGAAAGUCAAAGGCUCAACCCUUGAAUGCCGGUGGAUACUGCAGGGCUAGAGUCCGGAAGAGGUGAGUGGAAUUCCUGGUGUAGCGGUGAAAUGCGCAGAUAUCAGGAGGAACACCGAUGGCGAAGGCAGGUCACUGGGCCGCAACUGACGCUGAGGAGCGAAAGCAUGGGGAGC